CGGCGGCGGCAGCGGCAGAUUGUGCAGACAUGGCCAAGAUUAAGGCUCGAGACCUUCGCGGCAAGAAGAGGAGCUGCUUAAACAGCUGGAAGACCUGAAGGUGGAGCUGUCCCAGCUGCGCGUCGCCAAAGUGACAGGCAGCGCGGCUUCCAAGCUCUCCAAGAUCCGAGUUGUUCGCAAAUCCAUCGCCCGUGUUCUCACAGUCAUCAACCAGACGCAGAAAGAGAACCUCAGGAAAUUCUACAAGGGUAAGAAGUACAAGCCCCUGGAUCUGCGACCCAAGAAGACACGUGCCAUGCGCCGCCGGCUGAACAAGCACGAGGAGAACCUGAAGACCAAGAAGCAGCAGCGGAAGGAGCGGCUGUACCCGCUGCGGAAGUACGCGGUCAAAGUCUGAGCACUGGCGUCAGUAAAACACAGACAAACUGAAAAAAAAAAAAAAAGCAAAG